UUCUUUUACUAAAAUUCAACCAUUUUUUUUUAUAGAGAAAUAUGUCACUCUACCAAUAAGACACAACUUGAAUUAACUAAAAUUCAACCAUUUAAUAUAUCACUUCCAAUAAUUAAAAUUCAGCAGCAGUAAGCUCACUCGUGCAGCAGAGAUUUGGCAGCCAAAUUCUGCUGAUAACGGGGAAAGAAAUACCUCUGCUGCAAGCUGUGUCAACUCCUCCUCAAUCGAAGACUGAUAAGCCUGUGAUUUACUCAAAAGAUGGAAAUGUCACUGCAUUGAUAUGGGGAGCAUCACCACAAUCACGAUCUGAUCGGCAGAAGGACCGAGUUGAGACAAAUCCUGAACAGUUGGCAGCUGCAU